CCCCCCUCGUACCGUCGCUCGAGGCCUGGAGGUGCGCUCUGCAGCUGCCUGGGGACCGCCCGUCUCGAAGCCGCGGUCAGAGAGAUUGCCGGCGCUGGGAGCUACCUAGCAGAUUUCUGAGUGCCACAACUGAGGUGCAGAAGGGACAACAACUUCCAAGAGCCUGAUGGUAUGCCAACCCACACCAAAAUAACUGGCUCAAACAAGGUCCAAAGUGACUUCGCUGUACAGAGGAAGUCAUUCAGUGUAAUCAUCUACUUCUUUUACAACUUAGGAAAGCCUCAGAAAUACUAUUCAAGGUGGCAACACACAGCUGGAUCCAAGGGACAGUGUUUCAUUUCUGAAGUUCAGUGGAAGAGCAUACACAUGUAUGUUUUUCCUGCCCAUGGACUGUGCCGAUGGAGAAGUUCGCUGUUGAUCAUGUUUGACUGCUACAGGUUGAUUCACAACUGAGGAGUCACACAGCUCUACUUCUGUCUGUCCACUACCUUCUCACAAUGUGAAAAAGCUGCCAGCAAUUAUACGUGUCUCAGCCCUCUCUAGGCACAGUUUUAGUGUUUCUGAGCCACAUCCUGCACAUUACUAUUCUGAUUCAGUACACCCUAACAGCAGGAUAUUGAUAUAUCUCCAGAAAGUACAAGGAGAGCCAAAAACCAAACCACAUGAAAUAAUAAGUAUUAGCCUUACUGCUCUCUCCAGCCCUUACAAGUCUACUAUGAAACAAAGUACCUCCUUUCACCACAGAGCUUCUGAGCAUGGAGUGUGAUUAAGCUCAAAUACAUAAACCUGAGUAACCUCUUUCCCUCUCCUAAAGUUUUCGUAACUCUUUUUUGGACACGUUUGGAUUUCCAUCACAGAAAAGGAAGUGAAAAAUGGGAGGCUGAAUAACAGCUCAGCUGCCAUCUGAGAUGUAACUCAAAAUGCUGGGCAAUGAAGUAGGGGAAACUAUGGUAUUUCUCCUGUCCUUUCCUGUACCUUAAAAUACUCUUUAAGUUAGCCAGCCAGCCAGGAAAAAAACAGAUGAAUAUAAUCGUCUCCAGUGAUCUAUUUUCCAUGAGAAAGAGGCAGAGCUUAUUUAAUCUAUUCAUAUGUAAACUGCCCUAUACCUCCAGUUCCACAUCCCACUGCCAAUUCUUUCUGCUCCAUCUAAUUGUACACUUCAAAAUAUGAUGAACAGUGGAUAAAAACUCCGCAAAUUACUAGUACACAAAGAACAAAGCACAAACAGAUGUGCUGUUUAAACACAGCUUUCUAAUGAAAAGUCAUUUUUAUCUACAGAUAGACUUGAUUUCCAAAAUUCAGGCUUCUACAAAUCUCAACUUCUUAAACAAAGAUCUUGUUUGGGUUAUAAAGGAUGACCUCAGCUACUAAUCUUCUAGUUGUAGACAAUCAACACCAAAUCUUGGAGAGAAAUCAAUCAGUAAAAAUCAAUUUGUACAAGCCACAACUACAAAAACAAACAGAAACCACACCACACAAAUACAAAUGACUUGAGUAAUACUAACCACUUGCUUGUCUUGGAAUUAAAAAUACAAAAGCUGCUCGAGAACAACUGUGAAGGAAGGAUAAGAUUAUAAGCUAGUGAGGUGCACCUCAAUGGUAACACUGGGAACUGCAAAACAUAUAUAAGUUUUGGGCUUUAAUCCCAGUUUCCCAACAGCAUUCAAAUUUCUCUAUGGGAUGAAUUACCUACUCUCACUAUUUACAUCCUUAAUUAACAGGCAAUAAGAAUUUGAAAUUGUGGAAAUUGUAAGCAGAGCCAACACAUAGGGCACAGACUGUGGCAUUAUCUGAAACAGCCUGACCAGAGACAGCAGGUCACAGGUGAGAAAAUAAGGGUGAGUUUUUCAAAUAUUCAUAUAUUGUAGUCUGCUUUCAGCCAACAUAUCCUUUUAAUUAUCGCUAUGUUGUAUUUGUUCUUCUCUCCUUCACGCUGCAGAGAGACAGAAAUAACAGAACACAAAAAUAAAGGACACCAAAAUUCUUUCUGCAGAACACAAAGCUCAGCCUUUCCAUACAAUUCCACUAUUAGCAAUGAAGCUUCACAGCACAAAAACAUCACAGAGCACAGGACAAUCAGCCUGUGUAUAACACACAUGCUGCAUGCCUUUAAUAUGAAAUAUCAGACACUUCAGUCUGCUAUUUAAUACCUCAGCUAAUACUUACUGGCUGUGUAUGCCUAACAGAUCAGCCUUUUCUCAGAUCCAAAAUACACCUUAGAUCACCUGUGUCAGUGCAUAAACAUCUCUGCACUGUUGAACUUUGAGAUCGGCUUUUCUUUUCUGCCCUUCCUUCAAAAAAUUCAGAUUUGGUGCACGCCUUCUCAGCGAAUUACUGUGUGUAGGUGAGGAGGAAAAGAAGCAUAUUAUUAGUGUUGGAACAUUGCCCGCCUUUUGGAUGGCUUUCACAGGAUAAAAUACAAUGCUUGGACAGAAGCAAGAUUCCGAAUCUCAAGCUCCAUAGCUUAACUGCAGGGCCCGUACUGUGAUCCAAUCCUUUUAUUUUGUAUUUCCCAGAAUAAUUCCUUUAUAAAAAGAGAAGUUUUGUAUGUUUCAGCAUUCUAGUGACUGUGAAAGAAAACAAAUCUGCUUAAAGGGAUGACUGCUUCUCAAAAUGCAGACAUUUUUUAGUAAAAAUAAAAUACAUGCCAUGAUAAAGUGGAAGAGGAAAGAAGCAAAUUAAACUAGAUGUCUCAGUGCAGACCAAAUAAUUUAUGCCACGAUUAGAGAACAUUAAAAGGGGGAAGCUUUCAAUAUCCUACCAUAAGAUAAUUGGUACAUCCACCUUCCAACUCAAUUGCAUCUACAGCUAUGUCUACAUUGGUGAAUAAAGCAAGCCAGUACAAGUAGAUUUCUUACAUGGAAAUAUCAAUGUUGAAAAAAAAGAAUCUUUUCUAGACUUAUUCCAUUAUUUUUUCCUUCUAAGAUUGUACUAGCUGUACUCGCAUUAGAUGGACUCAUGCAACACUCCUUCCAGGUCAGCUUCAUCCAAGAGAAACCCAAUGCUAAGAACGCUUCCCAACAUGGAGAAAAGUAGAGUAAGUGCAAGGAAUGAGAGAUCUGCUUCCAGAGAAUCACGUGCCUCUUCUGAAUGGAAAUAGCAAAUGUGCCUGAAGUUCAGCACAAUAUGUCUGUUUUUACAGUACAGAAUAAGUAUAUGUCUACUAAGAUAGAUAUAAUGGUUUCUCUAACUACAGAAAAACACGGUUAAGGAAACCUCAUCUCGAAGUAUAUGGAAGGACUUAAGAUAGAGUUUGGUAAAUUCUUAGAAUGACAUUCUAUUGCUUUCAAGAAUCCCAGCCUUCCUUCCCUAACCUUGUGAGCUGCUGGAAAAAAAAUUGCUAAACUGAUGUGUAAAGAGAAACUGCUGCAUCUCCUGAUCCUGUUAAUUAAACAAUGGAUUUUCCUUUGUUUUUAA